rnacentral:rRNA from 1 species
UUUAAUUGAAGAGUUUGAUCAUGGCUCAGAUUGAACGCUGGCGGCAGGCCUAACACAUGCAAGUCGAGCGGUAGCACAAGAGAGCUUGCUCUCUGGGUGACGAGCGGCGGACGGGUGAGUAAUGUCUGGGAAACUGCCUGAUGGAGGGGGAUAACUACUGGAAACGGUAGCUAAUACCGCAUAACGUCUUCGGACCAAAGUGGGGGACCUUCGGGCCUCACGCCAUCAGAUGUGCCCAGAUGGGAUUAGCUAGUAGGUGGGGUAAUGGCUCACCUAGGCGACGAUCCCUAGCUGGUCUGAGAGGAUGACCAGCCACACUGGAACUGAGACACGGUCCAGACUCCUACGGGAGGCAGCAGUGGGGAAUAUUGCACAAUGGGCGCAAGCCUGAUGCAGCCAUGCCGCGUGUGUGAAGAAGGCCUUCGGGUUGUAAAGCACUUUCAGCGAGGAGGAAGGGUUCAGUGUUAAUAGCACUGUGCAUUGACGUUACUCGCAGAAGAAGCACCGGCUAACUCCGUGCCAGCAGCCGCGGUAAUACGGAGGGUGCAAGCGUUAAUCGGAAUUACUGGGCGUAAAGCGCACGCAGGCGGUUUGUUAAGUCAGAUGUGAAAUCCCCGCGCUUAACGUGGGAACUGCAUUUGAAACUGGCAAGCUAGAGUCUUGUAGAGGGGGGUAGAAUUCCAGGUGUAGCGGUGAAAUGCGUAGAGAUCUGGAGGAAUACCGGUGGCGAAGGCGGCCCCCUGGACAAAGACUGACGCUCAGGUGCGAAAGCGUGGGGAGCAAACAGGAUUAGAUACCCUGGUAGUCCACGCUGUAAACGAUGUCGACUUGGAGGUUGUGCCCUUGAGGCGUGGCUUCCGGAGCUAACGCGUUAAGUCGACCGCCUGGGGAGUACGGCCGCAAGGUUAAAACUCAAAUGAAUUGACGGGGGCCCGCACAAGCGGUGGAGCAUGUGGUUUAAUUCGAUGCAACGCGAAGAACCUUACCUACUCUUGACAUCCACAGAAUUCGCUAGAGAUAGCUUAGUGCCUUCGGGAACUGUGAGACAGGUGCUGCAUGGCUGUCGUCAGCUCGUGUUGUGAAAUGUUGGGUUAAGUCCCGCAACGAGCGCAACCCUUAUCCUUUGUUGCCAGCACGUAAUGGUGGGAACUCAAAGGAGACUGCCGGUGAUAAACCGGAGGAAGGUGGGGAUGACGUCAAGUCAUCAUGGCCCUUACGAGUAGGGCUACACACGUGCUACAAUGGCGUAUACAAAGAGAAGCGAACUCGCGAGAGCCAGCGGACCUCAUAAAGUACGUCGUAGUCCGGAUCGGAGUCUGCAACUCGACUCCGUGAAGUCGGAAUCGCUAGUAAUCGUAGAUCAGAAUGCUACGGUGAAUACGUUCCCGGGCCUUGUACACACCGCCCGUCACACCAUGGGAGUGGGUUGCAAAAGAAGUAGGUAGCUUAACCUUCGGGAGGGCGCUUACCACUUUGUGAUUCAUGACUGGGGUGAAGUCGUAACAAGGUAACCGUAGGGGAACCUGCGGUUGGAUCACCUCCUUACCU